rnacentral:rRNA from 1 species
UACACUCCUGCGGGAGGCAGCAGUGGGGAAUUUUGGACAAUGGGCGAAAGCCUGAUCCAGCCAUGCCGCGUGCAGGAUGAAGGCCUUCGGGUUGUAAACUGCUUUUGUACGGAACGAAACGGCCUUUUCUAAUAAAGAGGGCUAAUGACGGUACCGUAAGAAUAAGCACCGGCUAACUACGUGCCAGCAGCCGCGGUAAUACGUAGGGUGCAAGCGUUAAUCGGAAUUACUGGGCGUAAAGCGUGCGCAGGCGGUUAUGUAAGACAGUUGUGAAAUCCCCGGGCUCAACCUGGGAACUGCAUCUGUGACUGCAUAGCUAGAGUACGGUAGAGGGGGAUGGAAUUCCGCGUGUAGCAGUGAAAUGCGUAGAUAUGCGGAGGAACACCGAUGGCGAAGGCAAUCCCCUGGACCUGUACUGACGCUCAUGCACGAAAUCGUGGGGAGCAAACAGGAUUAGAAACCCCAGUAGUCCCAU